rnacentral:rRNA from 1 species
GAUGAACGCUAGCGGCAGGCUUAAUACAUGCAAGUCGAGGGGCAGCAGCUUUGUAGCAAUACAGGGGCUGGCGACCGGCAAACGGGUGCGGAACACGUACGCAACCUUCCUUUAACUGGAAGAUAGCCCACCGAAAGGUGGAUUAAUACUCCAUAACAUAUUGAAGAGGCAUCUCUUUGAUAUUAAAGCUCCGGCGGUUAAAGAUGGGCGUGCGUCUGAUUAGGUAGUUGGCGGGGUAACGGCCCACCAAGCCUUCGAUCAGUAGCUGAUGUGAGAGCAUGAUCAGCCACACGGGCACUGAGACACGGGCCCGACUCCUACGGGAGGCAGCAGUAAGGAAUAUUGGUCAAUGGACGCGAGUCUGACCAGCCAUGCCGCGUGGAGGAUGAAGGCCCUCUGGGUUGUAAACGUUCUUUCUUUGGGACGAAACCCUGUUCUACGGGGACUGACGGUACCAGAGGAAUAAGCACCGGCUAACUCCGUGCCAGCAGCCGC